rnacentral:rRNA from 1 species
GACGAACGCUGGCGGCGUGCUUAACACAUGCAAGUCGAACGGAAAGGCCCUGCUUUUGUGGGGUGCUCGAGUGGCGAACGGGUGAGUAACACGUGAGUAACCUGCCCUUGACUUUGGGAUAACUUCAGGAAACUGGGGCUAAUACCGGAUAGGAGCUCCUGCUGCAUGGUGGGGGUUGGAAAGUGUCGGCGUUUGGGGAUGGAUUCGCGGCUUAUCAGCUUGUUGGUGUGGUAGUGGUUUACCAAGGCUUUGACGGGUAGCCGGCAUGAGAGGGGGACCGGGCACCAUGGGCCUGAGAUACGGACCAGAAUCCUACGGGAGGCAGUAGUGGGGAAUACGGCAGAACGGGCGGAAGCCUGAUGUAGCAACGUCGGGUGCGUGAUGACCGCUUUUGGGGUGUAAACAGAUUUGGAAGGUGACGAAGAGGGAGUGACGGUAAUGGGUAAAGAAGCACCGGCUAACUACGUG